rnacentral:lncRNA from 1 species
AAUAAAUGGGAUGUACCUACCUUAUGUUUUUUGUUUCAAUUUUGUACAAGGAGAAAAGGUGAAAUGAAAUAAGAUUGAAUGGUUUUGGCUAUAUAUCUAUGUUGAUUUCUGCAAUUGAGUUAUGUGUUUCUUUAUUGUUUUCUUUCAUCCAGGGAAAGAAAAUUGUAGGUGUUCAUUUAUAAUAGGGGAAUGCUUGCAACCUUUUCUCUAACCUUCUCUUUUGGACCUUCUGCAUCACACAAGCUAAUUUUUCUUUUCCAAAUUAACCCUUAUUAAAUUUUUUUUUUUUAACAACAAGCUAAUAUUUUAACAACUUUCUUUCCACCUUAUUAAAAAAUUAAACAAGAAAAAAAUAGGUUUUUAUAUAUAAAAAACUAUUUGAUUUUUGUUUUUCCAAAGAAUACAUAUGUUGCUAAUAAAACCUUCAGUCCUUGCAUAACUUUCUUUCCACCGUAUUAAAAAAUUAAAUAAGAAAAAGCGUAAUAAUAAAUUUUUGUUCUAGGAUAGCAUGAACUUCUUUUGUGCUUAAAAAAAAAGGUUAUCACUCAAGAAAAAAAAACACAUUUUUUUUCAAAAAAGAAAACUGACAUUUUUUAUUUAUUUAUUUAUUUUUAAUAAGGUGGUAAGAAA